rnacentral:lncRNA from 1 species
ACGUGAGAGGAGACUUCCGGCCACUGCGUUGUAGUCGGCCCGGCUGCAAAGCGUUUUUCUGCAGGCUGUUUUCCCAGGUUCCCUCGGCCUGUACCUCGCGCACUCCUCUUGCUCCAGGUCCUUCAGUCUCCGCUCGUCUCACCGUAGGCUGUGACGACAUGAGCAACAAAGAAGGAUCAGGAGGGUUCAGGAAAAGGAAGCAUGACAAUUUCCCACAUAACCAAAGAAGAGAAGGGAAGGAUGUUAAUUCAUCUUCACCCGUGAUGUUGGCCUUUAAAUCAUUUCAGCAGGAACUUGAUGCAAGGCAUGACAAAUAUGAGAGACUUGUGAAACUUAGUCGGGAUAUAACUGUUGAAAGUAAAAGGACAAUUUUUCUCCUCCAUAGGAUUACAAGUGCUCCUGAUAUGGAAGAUAUAUUGACUGAAUCAGAAAUUAAAUUGGAUGGUGUCAGACAAAAGAUAUUCCAGGUAGCCCAAGAGCUAUCAGGGGAAGAUAUGCAUCAGUUCCAUCGAGCCAUUACUACAGGACUACAGGAAUAUGUGGAAGCUGUCUCUUUUCAACACUUCAUCAAAACACGAUCAUUAAUUAGUAUGGAUGAAAUUAAUAAACAAUUGAUAUUUACGACUGAAGACAAUGGGAAAGAAAAUAAAACUAAGUUUACAGGCAAGAUCCUACUCACAGAGGCUCUUGGGAUCAAGGCUGACAGAAGCUCCAUCUGAAGACUUUUAUACUAUAGAGGCAGAAAAAGAGUGAUGAAUCAAGCACUGGCUUCUAAAGCUUCCGCCCAGAUGGGAAGCAUAUCUCCUCUGCUCACAUUUCCCUGACCAAAGCCAGUCACAUGGCCAUCCUCAGCUUCAGAGAGGUUGGGAAGGCAUUCCCACUAUGUGUCUGGAUGCCAGCAACUCAGAAAUAUUUGGCAGCCGGGAUUGCUUACCACCUGCAGCGUGCUUUCGGAGGCGGCGGCUGGCACGGAGGCCGGGCUACAUGAGAAGCUCGACAGGGCCUGGGAUCGGGUUCCUUUCCCCAGCAGUGGGCACACUGUUCCGGUUCCCAGGAGGGGUGUCUGGCGAGGAGUCCCACCACUCGGAGUCCAGGGCCAGACAGUGUGGCCUUGACUCGAGAGGCCUCUUGGUCCGGAGCCCUGUUUCCAAGAGUGCAGCAGCCCCUACUGUGACCUCUGUGAGAGGAACCUCGGCGCACUUUGGGAUUCAGCUCAGAGGUGGCACCAGAUUGCCUGACAGGCUUAGCUGGCCGUGUGGCCCUGGGAGUGCUGGGUGGCAGCAAGAGUUUGCAGCCAUGGAUAGUUCUGAGACCCUGGACGCCAGCUGGGAGGCAGCCUGCAGCGAUGGAGCAAGGCGUGUCCGGGCAGCAGGCUCUCUGCCAUCAGCAGAGUUGAGUAGCAACAGCUGCAGCCCUGGCUGUGGCCCUGAGGUCCCCCCAACCCCUCCUGGCUCUCACAGUGCCUUUACCUCAAGCUUUAGCUUUAUUCGGCUCUCGCUUGGCUCUGCCGGGGAACGUGGAGAAGCAGAAGGCUGCCCACCAUCCAGAGAGGCUGAGUCCCAUUGCCAGAGCCCCCAGGAGAUGGGAGCCAAAGCUGCCAGCUUGGACGGGCCUCACGAGGACCCGCGAUGUCUCUCUCGGCCCUUCAGUCUCUUGGCUACACGGGUCUCUGCAGACUUGGCCCAGGCCGCAAGGAACAGCUCCAGGCCAGAGCGUGACAUGCAUUCUUUACCAGACAUGGACCCUGGCUCCUCCAGUUCUCUGGAUCCCUCACUGGCUGGCUGUGGUGGUGAUGGGAGCAGCGGCUCAGGGGAUGCCCACUCUUGGGACACCCUGCUCAGGAAAUGGGAGCCAGUGCUGCGGGACUGCCUGCUGAGAAACCGGAGGCAGAUGGAGGUAAUAUCCUUAAGAUUAAAACUUCAGAAACUUCAGGAAGAUGCAGUUGAGAAUGAUGAUUAUGAUAAAGCUGAGACGUUACAACAAAGAUUAGAAGACCUGGAACAAGAGAAAAUCAGCCUGCACUUUCAACUUCCUUCAAGGCAGCCAGCUCUUAGCAGUUUCCUGGGUCACCUGGCAGCACAAGUCCAGGCUGCCUUGCGCCGUGGGGCCACUCAGCAGGCCAGCGGAGAUGACACCCACACCCCACUGAGAAUGGAGCCGAGGCUGUUGGAACCCACUGCUCAGGACAGCUUGCACGUGUCCAUCACGAGACGAGACUGGCUUCUUCAGGAAAAGCAGCAGCUACAGAAAGAAAUCGAAGCUCUCCAAGCAAGGAUGUUUGUGCUGGAAGCCAAAGAUCAACAGCUGAGAAGGGAAAUAGAGGAGCAAGAGCAGCAACUCCAGUGGCAGGGCUGCGACCUGACCCCACUGGUGGGCCAGCUGUCCCUGGGUCAGCUGCAGGAGGUCAGCAAGGCCUUGCAGGACACCCUGGCCUCAGCCGGUCAGAUUCCCUUCCAUGCAGAGCCACCGGAAACCAUAAGGAGCCUCCAGGAAAGAAUAAAAUCCCUCAACUUGUCACUUAAAGAAAUCACUACUAAGGAAACCAUUUCUGGACGGCUAAAGACCUCACCGAGGAGAUUAGAUCAUUAACAUCAGAGAGAGAAGGGCUGGAGGGACUCCUCAGCAAGCUGUUGGUGUUGAGUUCCAGGAAUGUCAAAAAGCUGGGAAGUGUUAAAGAAGAUUACAACAGACUGAGAAGAGAAGUGGAGCACCAGGAGACUGCCUAUGGUAGGUAGUGCACAACUGUUCCCCGGCAAGAUAUUGAUGAUAUUUGUUGUGUUUUGUGGCCAGGCAGAAUGUUCUGUGCCUUAUGUGAACGUCACUGUGAAGAGCGUCAUGGAGCACAUGGCCCUUUUCCUUGGGGACAUUUUUGGCAGGUGCCUUGGCAAACCGAAUGGAAUUACUUGUCAGCUUUUGUUUUCAUAUUCACAUGUGACAUCUUUUCUUUUUCUGUUCCCUGUCUCAACCUGUGUUUGCUAAUAGCCUUGUUAUUAUUUAGAGCAGUCUCUCCCUUGGCAAGGUCUUGAGCAUUUUCUUUGUGUGACAAUUAUCUUCCUUUUGUCCCUUGGCUCCGUCUCCUUGUCUGCACAAUCAUAGACUAAAUCAGGCUGAUCUGAGAAAAUUGAGGGAAGACCAUAAAGUGGCUCUUCUAUGUGUGGACUUUUCUGAGAGCUUCUUUCCCCAGGAAGGAUGAUGUAGAAGAUGUGAAUGCCGCCUUAGCCAAAGUGUCUGCUUGUCAGAGGAGUUCAAGUGUUCCUGUGUUCUUUCCUUUUCCAGUCGUUAGGAGUAACUGAGCUUACUCUGAGAUUUGCACCCAGAGGGAUGGUCUCAGAAGACGCUGGUUCAGUGCAAAUUGAGAUGGUAAAAACUUAUUUCUUAAAAAAUGGUUCCUAAAUAAAUGUCAUUUACUAAAACAAAUGAAAGAAAUAUAUAUAUGAAUAAAUGGCUAUAUUUU